CGCGGUGUGGAGCAGUUGGUAGCUCGUCGGGCUCAUAACCCGAAGGUCGUAGGUUCAAGUCCUGCCGCCGCUAC
rnacentral:tRNA from 1 species